CUCUUCCCAUCCUUUUAGAUCAAGCUGCCCUUUAAAGAAGCUGAGGACAUGAGAUGGGGACAUGCUGCACAAGGUGGCGCUCUUUUCGCUGGAUCUGACCCAUUGUCCCUGACCCUGAUGUGGAAGGUGUGGAGAAUAGGAGGGGGCAAAUCGCACCUAGGGUGAUUUCUCAUUUUCCACAAUGUCUUCUGGGCCUCCUGUUCCUUCUGCUGAUCAUACAGGGUGCACCAGUGCGGGUAGAUCUCAGGCUUCUUGGAGUGGCGAUCUUUGAGCAAUGAGGAAGAGGGGCUUCAGCCAGCGCCUCCCAGUUUGGUGACUGAGAUCAUAAUAAGAGUUCUCGGGAUUGUCGUGAUUUCAGAAAAUGUGGCAUUGACUCACUCUGAUUAGUAAAAACCAAGCAAAUAAGAAACGAGAUGUCCAGUUAAAUUCGUAUUUCAGGUAAUGAAGGCAAUAUUUAGGACAUACUCAUAUUUCAAAAAUUCUUCAUCGUUCAUCGGAAAUGCUAAUUGGGCAUCCCACUUUAUCUGGCAACUCCAACUAGGAGGAUCCCUGUGUUAAUUAAUACAAAUGACUCAUUAAGUACUGCCUGCAUAGCCCAGGCCUUAUAGAGAUAUUCUCUCAUAGCAACCCAACAAAGGGAGCUGGGCAGGGGUUGGCCUGUGGCAGAGGAAGCUCCUGAGCCUCAGGGAGGGAAAGCGACUUGUCCAAGGUCACACAGAGUUAGUGGCAGCCCUAGGGGUGAGUUUUGGGGUUCUGUGAGCUGGCGUUAAUGGGAAGGGACAGCCUGCUGCCCCUCCUCCUUUAGCCAGGCUCGCAGGGUGGCAAAAGUUAGGGGUCUUACCUGGUAGCAGGACAAAGGCAGGUGAACAGGAGCCAUGGCUUUUCUGAAUUCUGUGGUACAAAUGAGACAGCGAUUACCGAGGAGGGUUGAAGAAUCAUCCAUCCAGGCAUUCAUCGUUCAGCGUUUAGUGAACACUACACCAGGGAGGUAAAUAAGGCAUAGUUCCUGUCCUUAAGGGGCUCAUGGUUCUCUGGUACCUUGCUGCUCAGAAUGUGGCCAGUGGAGCAGCAGAACUGCCAUCGCCUGGGAGCUUCUCAGAAAUGCAGAAUCUCAGGCUCCACCCCAGACCUCCUGAAUCAGGAUCUUCAUUUGAGCAAGAUUCCUAUGCGUGUUGAAAUCUGAGAAGCGCUGGUCUAGCACCGCGGUGGUUCUCAGCCCUGGCUGCAUACUAGAAUUAUUUGGGGGAAUUUUUAACGUGCCUCAGCCCCACCUCAGAUGGGUUGAAUCAGAUUCUCUGAGGAAGGGGCCUAGGCAUUUUUGAAAGCUCCCCGGGGGAUUCUAAUGUGCAGCUCAUGUGAAAACCACUGGUUUCAUUCGGUGGUUCUCAAAUUUGAGCGUGCAUUAGAAACAAUUGGAGAGCUUGUUAAAACACCGAGUUCUUUAUGCCCAGCUGCAGACUCAUCAGCCCUAGAGUACUGAUUCAGUAAACCUGGGGCAGGGUCUGAGAAUUUGCAUUUCUUCUGGAAACAGACUUUGGGAAGCACUGGUCCAGCUGGUGAGACAGCACUGUUUAUUAGUGAUUAACAAGAGGAAACAAAGAUGAAGAUGGAUAAAGGCAUAGGUGGUACAGAUGAGGGGCCCCUAACCUGGUUGGGAGGAGCAGGGAAGAUUUCAGAGAUGAUUCAUAAGCUGAGUCUUCAGUCCAGGUAGGCGUUAGCCAGAUAGAUGCAUUAGGCAUUGGGAACAACUUAAAAUCUUGGAGAUGUGAGAGUUGGGUAGAGAGGAGGGUGCAGAUGAGGGAGCAGAAGCUGGUGAGACACAGAGACGUCCCUCUUCGAGGGCCCUGGAAACUUUCCUCGAGCGCUGUGGCGAGCCCUCAAAGUAUCCAGCAGUCCGCCCUGACCCCUCCCAUGGAUUUGCUGAAAUCAGCUGGACCCUGCCAGGGAGUGGGUGCCAGGGACCUUUCCUUCUCAGGCCCCUGUCCCUGACUCCACUCCUGUCCUCUCCAGCCUCACCUUUGGUCCUUUCUGGAUAUUCCAGCCACGGGCACUUGAAUAUU